rnacentral:lncRNA from 1 species
UGAUGAACUUAUGAAAGGAAAGAUCUAUUGCAGGAUGAAAGUCUGACCUUCUGUAUUCUACUUUGCAGGAUCUCUGAUGUGGGUAUCGUGGUUUAACCCCCCAGUUGAAACCAGAUCAGUGGUGAAGGUUAAAAGGGAAAAAACUACAGUAACAGCACAUUGCUGAUCCUGAGGGAAAAUCAUGAACCCAGAGUAGUGUGGCAGAAGUUUCAGCAAUCACUUUUCCAAAUACUUCCUUCAGUCUCAUAAAGAAAUUUCAACUUUGCUUUUCUGUAGAUGUGUCAUAGAAAUGAGUGACCUUCUUGUAUCCAAACUAUUCUGUGAUUCCUCAUCUGCCACCUGGCAUCUGUGGCACUCCCCCAGCAGUGUCAUUGUGUUAUCAGCCUGAGGACAGGGAAUGAAAAUGCAAG